UGGGGAAUAUUGCACAAUGGGCGAAAGCCUGAUGCAGCAACGCCGCGUGAGUGAUGAAGGCCUUCGGGUUGUAAAGCUCUGUCUUUUGGGACGAUAAUGACGGUACCAAAGGAGGAAGCCACGGCUAACUACGUGCCAGCAGCCGCGGUAAUACGUAGGUGGCAAGCGUUGUCCGGAUUUUACUGGGCGUAAAGGAUGCGUAGGCGGAUUUUUAAGUGAGAUGUGAAAUACCCGGGCUUAACUUGGGUGCUGCAUUUCAAACUGGGAAUCUAGAGUGCGGGAGAGGAGAAUGGAAUUCCUAGUGUAGCGGUGAAAUGCGUAGAGAUUAGGAAGAACACCAGUGGCGAAGGCGAUUCUCUGGACCGUAACUGACGCUGAGGCAUGAAAGCGUGGGUAGCAAACAGGAUUAGAUACCCUGGUAGUCCACGCCGUAAACGAUGAGUACUAGGUGUAGGAGGUAUCGACCCCUUCUGUGCCGCAGUUAACACAAUAAGUACUCCGCCUGGGAAGUACGAUCGCAAGAUUAAAAAC
rnacentral:rRNA from 1 species